UCCAAAACUCUUCGUGCUCCCAAUUACACCAAAUUCUAUUAGUAAGGUCAGCUAAUUAAGCUAUCGGGCCCAUACCCCGAAAAUGUUGGUUUAUACCCUUCCCGUACUA
rnacentral:tRNA from 1 species